rnacentral:sRNA from 1 species
UAGCCAGGUGUGGUGGUGCAUACCUGUAGUCCCAGCCACUUGGGAGACUGAGGUAGGAGGAUUGCUUGAGCCUAGAAGGCAGAGGUUGCAGUAAGCUGAGAUCUCACCACUGUACUUCCAGCCUGGGUGACAGAAUAAGACCCCUGUCUCAAAAAAAAAAAAGAAAGAAAUGAGACAGGGGCAAGUGUCCGAGUGGUGAAUCAGCUACUUACAGAGAUGGAUGGUCUGGAAGCACGCCAGCAGGUUUUUAUUAUGGCAGCCACUAACAGGCCAGAUAUAAUUGACCCUGCAAUCCUGCGCCCAGGCCGCCUGGACAAAACACUGUUUGUGGGUUUACCGCCCCCUGCAGAUCGCCUUGCCAUCUUAAAAACUAUCACAAAAAAUGGUACCAAACCACCACUGGAUGCAGAUGUAAAUUUGGAAGCAAUUGCUGGUGACCUUCGCUGUGAUUGCUAUACGGGCGCAGAUCUCUCUGCUUUGGUACGAGAAGCUUCUAUCUGUGCCCUGAGACAGGAAAUGGCAAGACAGAAGAGUGGAAAUGAAAAAGGUGAACUCAAGGUUAGUCAUAAGCAUUUUGA